GUCAUUUGACGAAACGCCCUUAUCCUGCGGGUACCUCCCCUGAUUAUUUGGGUUCAUUUGAGGUUUCUUACAAAAUGUUAAAUGGUCGGGCUGCAGUGCUUUUUGAGCGGGAGAGUGACUUUCCCGAUAAAAACAAGGACGAGGUGCUCUCUCGUUUUACUUUAAGAUCGCAUGCUUGGGGUUCGAUUUUAAGAAACCAAAUUUUUUUAUUUUCUACUUUGUUGUCAUUAGAGCAGCAGCCGGGGGUACCCAAAGAGUCUAUUAUAGAAACUGUUAAACGCAUGUGCUUCACAUAUGUACCUGAACACUUGGACGAGAGGGGUAGACGGGCUUACAUGCGAAAAUAUAAAUUGUAGGAUGUGUGUGUGUAUGUGUGUGUGUGUGCGUGUUGGUGUAAAAAUUGUAUAUAAAUAGGGGGUAUGCUUGGUUAUAAAGUUCAUUCUUGUAGUUGAGUUUUGAGCGUAAAGAUGUCGAGGGUUUUCUUUCUUAUGUUAUGUGUUAGUUUUAAAUUUGUCUUUGCUGAGGUGAACGAUACUGUGAAGAAUGUGACUUCUUAUUGUUUUGAUCAACGGAUAGCUGGGGAUAUAAUAGUAUUAAGUUUUUUUGUUUUCUUUGCUCCAUGUUGCUUAAUUAUUUCUCAGUGUGUGUUAGAUAAUUUUGAGGAGGAAGAGCAGGAGGUAACGGAGCUAAGGAGGGCAAGUGUGUGAUUUGACAAAGCUUCGCAGAGCAAAGCUCUCUUUGUUUUUGUUGUAUCUCGCAAUGGUGCGUCAGUGCGUGCAAGAUGUAAGUUUAUUUUUUGCAAACAACGUUGAAAUCGUUUUCUUGUUUCUUAUCGUAACAUGUUUCAUGAAAUUGUGCGUGUUUCUAAUCGUAGUGUACUUUUUUACUUUUUCAGCUUCGCGCGACGGUGAUUGAGUCAUCGUCAGGGCUACCCACCAGGACGUUUUGGUCGGAGGCACGUGGGCAAGGGGUUGCUAAAAAGCAGUUGGGCGACUUGUUAGAUGUUGAGAAUGUACAUAAAUUUGGAACGUUGAUUGAGAAUAUCGAGUGGCUUUUCCACUUUGCCAAAAUCUGCGGCGUGGAGAGAAGGAAAUAUGAGAAGAAAGCGAGGAGGUUGGUCACCUUAAAAGCCAAGUUGGAGCGGUUACGCCUUAAGGAGCGUAAACGGUAGAGGUUGUUGAACUUCUCUCCACGCAUGCGUUGUCACGACCUCGCAUGAACUCCCCUAGGCGUGGUCGCCGUGGCUCGGGGGGAAUGGUUGAACUUCCCCCGGUAGGGCCAGCCCCGCUGAAUGGAGUUUCCACGCCUGUCUGGACCUUCCACCCACGCCCCUCUCAACACGUGUCCUGGGGAGAUUGGCAGAAACUUCCCCUUGCCCGAGGACAGCCCCGGGUGAAUGGGCUUCCCUUCUCUUGGCCCGCCCCGGCAUGGAGAGUCCGGGUGAAUGGGUCUACCCCGCGCGAUGGGAGGACCCCGUGAUCCUCGGUUGGGUAUCCCGUCAGCAGCGACCGUCACCGUCAUUGGGUAUCCACAGGACCGUCCAUUGCUCCGUUGACCUCAAAUAGUUUGAAAAGAUGGGAGGGGGAGGGUGGGUAGAUUUUAAGCUUUCAUUUUUGUGAAUAAUUGUUAACCUUGUGUAAAUAAAUUGUAUUUUCAAUUGACUUUGAUAUCCUCUUGACCACCAUCAUUCCUUAUGGUCUUCAAUUAUAAAUAAUAAAUAAACAUUGAGUUUGAUCGUAGAAAGAAAUUAAAAGAGAAACACUUUGACGUACCAUAGCUAAAAAUUCUUUUUUCAAAAACACACUUGCUUUUAAAACGAUAGCAGAUAUGAAAAACGCUUGUUUCAUAUGGAAUCAGACUUAU